rnacentral:lncRNA from 1 species
CUGAGUAGGCUUCCCUACUCUGGAAGGGAGCUCAGAGGGAAGGGAGAGGGAGAGUUCAUUAGGGGUAUUUCACAGUCACUCAGAUCCCAGGGUCUCUGUCUCAUCUUUGCAGAUCACACUGCUCAUAGAGAGUCUUUCUUUAUUUUGUUACUUAUCCUUGUACUGCCAGAAGUCUACAAAGACGGGGCUCCUGCAUGUCCCCAUUCACAUCAGUGGGAUGUGAGCACAAUUCAAAGCCUAUCCUGCACCCGUGUACAUUCACUGAUUGCAAAUCAGCUUAUUGUAUUUUAAAAAUUCGACAUUUUCUUGAAAAUGCAGCAUUUGAAGAUGAAAAUCUUAUUCUAAGAGAAGCAUAUUACAAAAAGGAAGAAUAAAAUAAAGAGAUGAGAGCGAAAGCAGGAGGGGGAAAGAGAACAAAGAAAACACAGACAAAUGAACAAAGAGAAUGAUCAGAAACCUCUCAUCAAAGCCAAUCAGCAUUGCUAAUGUAUUGGUCAUGUUCCAGCCUUGAGAAGUCAAACUGAGCCAACAUUAUUAAAGUCCUGCAAAAUCAAAAGAGUCAAGACCCUUUCUCCACCAAAUGAUCCUUUUUUCCUUCAGUUUUCUGGAUAUGGAGACUUGAUUACAGCACAUUCUCGUAAUUAUAAGGUCUACUUUGAACACAUUGCUUUAUUCCUAGAAAGUCAAUGGCCAUUAAUGAUUUUAUCGCUGAAAUUGGUGGUUACAGGUGGGCAUUUGUAGUUUUAACGUGAGCUAUCUUUCAAAGAGAACAUGGUUAAUAUGAUUUAAUAGGAACUACAUGUUUUUAUGAAUCUAUAGAAUUCUCAUUUCCCACUGAUUAAAUGAAACUUCUGAAGCUUCAAAGAAUGUCUAGGUGAAAAAUGGGCUGAAUUCUCCUAUUUGGAAACCUGUAUGCUCUCAUUUCUGCCCAGGUGCAGUAUUUAUACCACUGAAUCUAUAUUCAAUCUAAUUUCCACUCAGUCCAA